rnacentral:rRNA from 1 species
AUUGAACGCUGGCGGCAGGCCUAACACAUGCAAGUCGAGCGGAUGAAGGGAGCUUGCUCCUGGAUUCAGCGGCGGACGGGUGAGUAAUGCCUAGGAAUCUGCCUGGUAGUGGGGGAUAACGUCCGGAAACGGGCGCUAAUACCGCAUACGUCCUGAGGGAGAAAGUGGGGGAUCUUCGGGCCUCACGCUAUCAGAUGAGCCUAGGUCGGAUUAGCUAGUUGGUGGGGUAAAGGCCUACCAAGCCGACGAUCCGUAACUGGUCUGAGAGGAUGAUCAGUCACACUGGAACUGAGACACGGUCCAGACUCCUACGGGAGGCAGCAGUGGGGAAUAUUGGACAAUGGGCGAAAGCCUGAUCCAGCCAUGCCGCGUGUGUGAAGAAGGUCUUCGGAUUGUAAAGCACUUUAAGUUGGGAGGAAGGGCAGUAAGUUAAUACCUUGCUGUUUUGACGUUACCAACAGAAUAAGCACCGGCUAACUUCGUG